ACGAGGGCUGGCUGACUGGACAAGAGGCUGCCGCUCGAGUGGCGACCACGGGCUGUUUUUGUUCGUUUGUUUUUAACCCGAGUGAGGCAGCAGCUUGGGGUGCCAUGCAAAGGGCGGCAGAGCGGGAGGCGGUCAUAGUUGCCUCACCCGGCACAGUCCGGCGGGAGAUUAUCCCGCGCAAAUCUCAGCGAAAAAUCGCGGCAGCUACGGACGAGAAUUGCGCGGCCACGGUUGAGCUCUUCUUGCUUAGCAGCCCGUCGGAAAACGCGGCGGGUGGAAAAAUCAAUCUACUCCAAUAAGGAAUUGUUUUGCUGCCCGAGCCCGGCAACCAGGAGGGCAAGGCCGGUGAUCUAUGCACAUGUCACAACAGGCAUCUUAAAAGAGCCAUUUCUUCCUUUGGAUGAGAAAAGGAGGGCUGCUUUUGAGAAGAGCCUGCUACUGUGGUUUUUAUUUUGGAGCAGCAGUCCCAUGCAGCCAUGAAUAAGAGUAGUCAAUGGGCACUGAAAGAUGGAGAAGGGUUGAAGCUGAAUAAGCACCAUGGAGAGAGGCAGUCACCUGCUCAGGACAUUGAAGCUCCACUCCUUGUGCACUGAAUGCAUUGUCCAGUCUAUACGUUUAAGGCAGCAUUGGACAAAGCUACCCGACCAUUCUCAAAACGUUUCUCUCCAGCCACAAGGGCUGGACAUGCAAUCCUUUGAGAUCUUAGUCAAAUGUAUAGGGACAGCAGGGCUCUUUUCAAAUACAUCUCAUUGGUCUGCACUCAGUAAAACAGAGGAGAAAACAGCCAUUUUUAAAAAUGUGGGCUACAGGUGCCCCUUAUAUAGAAUCAUAGACAUACAGGAGUCAGCUCCUAGGGACUGAGGUUCCUUCAACCACAAUAAAAUAUUUGAGGGGGCUGCCCCCCAAGUUGAUGGGCAUUGCCAUUCAAAUACUGUGCCGCAUAUUGUGACCAAUUGUGCAGGGCGGAGAUUACCUCUCUCCCCCCCCCCCCAUAUUUUAUUCAAGCUGGCACCCCGAUCAUAGAAUUGUAGAGCUAGGCAUGUUACAGCUGCAGCAUGGGAGCAGUUUUGGGGGGUUAAGUCCAUGCUGCUACUGUAACUUUUACAGGCCCCGCAGUAUGGGGGUCCAUUGCUCCCUCUGUUCUUAGCCAAGUGACAAUAGGGUGGGAAGAACCUAUGCAGCUGGCCUUUUCCAGAAGACACUGGGCCUUUAAAUAUUAAGGCAAAAGUGUGGGGCGAUACCAUAAACAAGCAGCUCCUAUGCUGCUGUGGUAACAAGGGGCACCAUGCAGAUGUAAAUCAAAGCAAAGGGAAACAGAGAUACAUAUAUCACAAUGGAACUGGAUGGGAAAAUACCACAGUAUCUGAACAGAUAAUACUCAGUCACCACAGAAAUAGAAUUAGGGCUAAAAGCGGCUUAUACUAACUCAUUCUGAUUGUCAUGUACAAAAGAAAACUUAAGUAUGUAGGGAUAAUAAAUCUACCUUUUGUGAU